rnacentral:rRNA from 1 species
UACGUAGUGGGCUAGCGUUAUCCGGAAUUACUGGGCGUAAAGGGUGCGUAGGUGGUUUCUUAAGUCAGAGGUGAAAGGCUACGGCUCAACCGUAGUAAGCCUUUGAAACUGAGAAACUUGAGUGCAGGAGAGGAGAGUGGAAUUCCUAGUGUAGCGGUGAAAUGCGUAGAUAUUAGGAGGAACACCAGCUGCGAAGGCGGCUCUCUGGACUGUAACUGACGCUGAGGCACGAAAGCGUGGGGAGCAAACAGGAUUAGAUACCCUGGUAGU